AUGCAAGUCGAACGCGAAAGUUUUCUUCGGAAAACGAGUAGAGUGGCGCACGGGUGAGUAACGCGUAAGUUAUCUACCCUCCCAUCUGGAAUAACCCACCGAAAGGUGUGCUAAUACCGGAUACGUUGGAAACAAGAAAGGUGGCCUCUAUUUAUAAGCUACCGUGGGGGGAUGAGCUUGCGUACCAUUAGCUAGUUGGUAGGGUAAUGGCCUACCAAGGCGACGAUGGUUAGCGGGUCUGAGAGGAUGAUCCGCCACACUGGAACUGAAACACGGACCAGACUCCUACGGGAGGCAGCAGUGAGGAAUAUUGCGCAAUGGGGGAAACCCUGACGCAGCGACGCCGCGUGGAUGAUGAAGGCCCUUGGGUCGUAAAAUCCUGUCAGUUGGGAAGAAAUGCAUAUUGGCCAAUACCCAUUAUGUUUGACGGUACCAGCAAAGGAAGCACCGGCUAACUCCGUGCCAGCAGCCGCGGUAAUACGGAGGGUGCAAGCGUUGUUCGGAAUUACUGGGCGUAAAGCGCACGUAGGUGGUCUAUUAAGUCAGAUGUGAAAGUCCCUGGCUCAACUGGGGAAGUGCAUAUGAAACUGGUAGACUUGAGUACUGGAGGGGGAAUCACU
rnacentral:rRNA from 1 species